AUUUCAAUUUCCUCAAAGCUUGGAUUUCAAAUUUCUCUUAUUUCUUUCCACCGUUCAGUUUCCCGCAAACCCUUUUGAUUUUAAUCUAUUCCUUUUAUUCUAAUUCAAACCCUAACUAUGAUUUGAAAUUGGAAUCACACCUCUUCUAUAUCAAUAUGGAACCCUGAUAAUCGGCCCUAUCAAUAAUUUGAACCAUCAUUUUCACGUCGUUCAAUCGCAAAUCCUCUAUCCGCAGUUCUACAAUCAGGUUUUUUUGCUGUUCUGUUUUACUACUCCGCAAUCUGCAGUUCGGCAAUCGAUCGUUCUACUGUUUCAUUCUGCUUCAAGUUAUUUGGUAUUUUGCUACUUCUGUCACUAAGAAAACGCUGGAGAGAGUGAGACCUACUUAUCAACUAGAUCGAAACAGGAAGAGUGGCGGAAGAGUGGCAUCUGACAAGCAGAUGGGACUAGCGCCGACCUCAUUCGAGGUCUGGAGGCUGGCCUUCAUGCUCCGUUAAUAGUGAAGGCAAAAGAAAUGAACAUAACGGCGCAUGUGUCUGUGGUUGACGGAAGGACUAGGUGGACUUGCUGAUCCAACGAUAAUGAGUCAAAUGGUGUUUCAUCGUUCUACCUAAGGGAUGGGUUGCACCUGAAAGUAGUGAUCAAGGUGUUCAAUGAUGCAUGACUUUCUGCUGAUAAAAUGCCCUUUGAUUUCCCUCAACACUCAAAAAUUGAUCACAAAAAUCAUAAGAUCGCUUUCCAGCAGAAUGUUGGUGAUGCCUCAUUAUAGAAGGAUUCUGGUUUAAUUUUACAAUGUU